rnacentral:lncRNA from 1 species
ACUUAUGCAUUCUUAAACUCCUUCUAAGGCAGUGGAGACCAACAAAUAUCCAACCGGAUUGGCUCCAUAUUGAUUAAAAUCACAAUUUUUAAUGGCACUAAUUUUGUCCAAGCCUUCAUAUUCUUUUGUUUGUCUUUCUUAUCUAUGUCUCUCUUUGCAUUCUUAAUCGCCAUGAUACAUACUUUAUAAAGCUCUAAUUCUUAAUGCUACUCUCUAAUAUUCUCAAAAAAAUAAAAAAUUACAAAAUAAAAAACAAUAGAAUACAAAACUACAGAAUGAGCUUAAAUUGGUGCCCCACUCCUAAUCUUUUAUCCAGUGGUGAUAACAACAACAUG